rnacentral:rRNA from 1 species
UACGGAGGAUGCAAGCGUUAUCCGGAAUUACUGGGCGUAAAGCGUGCGCAGGCGGUUCGUGAUGUCUGGUGUGAAAGCCCCGGGCUUAACCUGGGAAUUGCAUUGGAAACUAGCGGGCUGGAGUGUGGCAGAGGGGGGUGGAAUUCCACGUGUAGCAGUGAAAUGCGUAGAGAUGUGGAGGAACACCGAUGGCGAAGGCAGCCCCCUGGGCUAACACUGACGCUCAUGCACGAAAGCGUGGGGAGCAAACAGG